rnacentral:rRNA from 1 species
ACUCCUACGGGAGGCAGCAGUGGGAAUAUUGGGACAAUGGGCGCAAGCCUGAUCCAGCCAUGCCGCGUGAGUGAUGAAGGCCCUAGGGUUGUAAAGCUCUUUCACCGGUGAAGAUAAUGACGGUAACCGGAGAAGAAGCUCCGGCUAACUUCGUGCCAGCAGCCGCGGUAAUACGAAGGGAGCUAGCGUUGUUCGGAAUUACUGGGCGUAAAGCGCACGUAGGCGGACUGUUAAGUCGGGGGUGAAAUCCCGGGGCUC